rnacentral:rRNA from 1 species
UACGGAGGGGGCUAGCGUUGUUCGGAAUUACUGGGCGUAAAGCGCACGUAGGCGGCUUUGUAAGUUAGAGGUGAAAGCCCGGGGCUCAACUCCGGAAUUGCCUUUAAGACUGCAUCGCUUGAAUUGUGGAGAGGUAAGUGGAAUUCCGAGUGUAGAGGUGAAAUUCGUAGAUAUUCGGAAGAACACCAGUGGCGAAGGCGACUUACUGGACACAUAUUGACACUGAGGUGCGAAAGCGUGGGGAGCAAACAGG